ACAUCUCUGGGGUGUACGUAAGCAACCUGUUAUAUCCCUUGAGCCUUAAAUACUGACUCCGGGAAUUGGACUGUUGAGGCCGUGUGCAUUACCGCUACGACGGGAAGCCUGAAGCACCAGCGCUGAUUCCCACCUGAACUUACCGGUUCAAGGUCUUCAGUAUUGCUACGGCAUUUCCGGAGGUGUC
rnacentral:other from 1 species